rnacentral:rRNA from 1 species
AUUGAACGCUGGCGGCAUGCCUUACACAUGCAAGUCGAACGGCAGCACGGGAGCUUGCUCCUGGUGGCGAGUGGCGAACGGGUGAGUAAUACAUCGGAACGUGCCCAGUAGUGGGGGAUAGCCCGGCGAAAGCCGGAUUAAUACCGCAUACGACCCACGGGGGAAAGGGGGGGACCGUAAGGCCCUGCGCGAUCUGACGGGCCGAGGUCUGGUUAGCUUGUUGGUGGGGUAAAAGCCCACCAGGGCGACGAUCAGUAGCUGGUCUGAGAGGACGAUCAGCCACACUGGGACUGAGACACGGCCCAGACUCCUACGGGAGGCAGCAGUGGGGAAUUUUGGACAAUGGGGGCAACCCUGAUCCAGCAAUGCCGCGUGUGCGAAGAAGGCCUUCGGGUUGUAAAGCACUUUUGUCAGGGAAGAAAUCUUUCAGGCUAAUACCCUUGGAAGGAUGACGGUACCUGAAGAAUAAGCACCGGCUAACUACGUGCCAGCCGCCGCGGUAA